UUUACCUAGCGGCGGACGGGUGAGUAAUGCUUAGGAAUCUGCCUAUUAGUGGGGGACAACAUCUCGAAAGGGAUGCUAAUACCGCAUACGUCCUACGGGAGAAAGCAGGGGACCUUCGGGCCUUGCGCUAAUAGAUGAGCCUAAGUCGGAUUAGCUAGUUGGUGGGGUAAAGGCCUACCAAGGCGACGAUCUGUAGCGGGUCUGAGAGGAUGAUCCGCCACACUGGGACUGAGACACGGCCCAGACUCCUACGGGAGGCAGCAGUGGGGAAUAUUGGACAAUGGGGGGAACCCUGAUCCAGCCAUGCCGCGUGUGUGAAGAAGGCCUUUUGGUUGUAAAGCACUUUAAGCGAGGAGGAGGCUACCGAGAUUAAUACUCUUGGAUAGUGGACGUUACUCGCAGAAUAAGCACCGGCUAACUCUGUGCCAGCAGCCGCGGUAAUACAGAGGGUGCAAGCGUUAAUCGGAUUUACUGGGCGUAAAGCGCGCGUAGGUGGCCAAUUAAGUCAAAUGUGAAAUCCCCGAGCUUAACUUGGGAAUUGCAUUCGAUACUGGUUGGCUAGAGUAUGGGAGAGGAUGGUAGAAUUCCAGGUGUAGCGGUGAAAUGCGUAGAGAUCUGGAGGAAUACCGAUGGCGAAGGCAGCCAUCUGGCCUAAUACUGACACUGAGGUGCGAAAGCAUGGGGAGCAAACAGGAUUAGAUACCCUGGUAGUCCAUGCCGUAAACGAUGUCUACUAGCCGUUGGGGCCUUUGAGGCUUUAGUGGCGCAGCUAACGCGAUAAGUAGACCGCCUGGGGAGUAC
rnacentral:rRNA from 1 species